GGGUGUGAGGUUGAUCUGGCUGUGACAUCUGCCACUACAUUAAUCUCCAGGGUUGAUUUGACUGAUCUGGCUGGCUAGGGGGGUGUACCCUACCUCCAUCAUGGCUCCACAUCUGUCCCUCCUGAAGCUAUACACUUAGGAGGUGAAGAGGGCUGCCUUCUGCAGUGUAGGAGGAUGACUUUCUGCUAUAGAGAAGGACUGUCCCUGGUCAAAGGUAGCAGCACACCCCUGACAGAACCUCCAAACAAACCCUCAAAGUGUCAAAGCCACUGGGCAAAUGAUAGUAUAACAAACCAAAGUCUCUUGAGAACACAAAGCCUCUGGCACUAGUGAGAUUUC
ensembl:misc_RNA 7SK 7SK RNA